rnacentral:rRNA from 1 species
CCUACGGGUGGCAGCAGUAGGGAAUAUUGCUCAAUGGGGGAAACCCUGAAGCAGCAACGCCGCGUGGAGGAUGAAGGUUUUCGGAUUGUAAACUCCUUUUGGUAGAGAAGAUAAUGACGGUAUCUAACGAAUCAGCACCUGCUAACUCCGUGCCAGCAGCCGCGGUAAUACGGAGGGCGCAAGCGCUCCUCUGAAUCACUGGGCGUAAAGAGCGCGUAGGCGGGAUAGCAAGUCAGAUGUGAAAUCCUAGGGCUCAACCAUAGAACUGCAUUUGAAACUGUUAUUCUAGAGUAUGGGAGAGGUGGGUGGAAUUCUUGGUGUAGGGGUAAAAUCCGUAGAGAUCAGGAGGAAUACUCGUUGCGAAGGCGACCUGCUGGAACAUAACUGACGCUGAUGCGCGAAAGCGUGGGGAGCAAACAGGAUUAGAUACCCUAGUAGUC